GAGAAACUUACAGAGGCCUGCUGUAAAAGUGGCAGAGUCCUGCAGUCCAGACCCAGACCCAACACUGCACAGCAACGUCAUAGAACCACACCAGGGCCCAGAUACAGAGACAGACACACAGGUGGUACUUCGGGCUGGAGGGACAGAGGAGAGAGAGGAUAUCAUCAUCAUGGAAGAGGAUGGAGAGGGGCAUCAAGAGGAAGACAAAAUGAAUAUGAAGGAGAGGGAUUAUGGGAGAGAGGAUGGGGUCGUCAUAACAUUGCUCCUCAACAGCCUGAUUUUUAUCCUCAUUACCAUCAUGGUGGUGGAGUCCAGAAUAUAAACCGUCCUCAAAACCAACCCCGAGGCAGGUUUGAUCAGAGCAGGGGAAGAUAUCAAUUGGCUCCAAGAUGGUCACAGCCUCCUGCCUCCUGAAAGUGACACAGAUGAGGAGAGGAUUAAAGGGAGUGUUAACUUUUGGAGUUAAGAGCACAUGAAAGACACAAUGAAAGCAGAGAAGAAGUCAAAUAUCUCUGAACAAACUGAUGAGUGAAUUACCAUCAGGAAUGUUUGUAUAAAGGAUGCAGGCAAAUCACAUAAGGGACAUUAAGAUGAGGUAGAAUGAACAGAUUAAGGAAAAAAAAAAAUAUUACGACAGUUUAGCUUGAAUUGGUCUCAAAAGGCUGACAUAAAAAGAAAUGGUGUGAAGAAGGACUCCCCAAACACACACACACACACACACAUACCAACAAGUGGAUUAACUGUUAAUCCUAAAGCUGUUUUUACAUCUUAUCUUUGAAAAUAAAAGAGCAAAGAUCUUAAAGGCAGUGUUUAUCCACUGCCAAAAUCCCUUUAAAGUAAUGGUUUUAACUUCAGAAAAAGCAGCAUCAGUGUCAAAUAUCAGCUGAAGUGUCAUGAGAUUUACAGUAUCCUAUCAGCUGACAUGGGUCGUGUGUGGCAAUGAAAACAAAGUGAGUCAUGACAAAACGGUAUUAACUGCCUGGAAAAGAAAAGCCAGUAUUUUAACAUUUAACGUGAGCUCGUAUAGUAAGUUAUAAGGUUCUUGUUCUGCAGACUUUGGGCUGUUUUAACUAUUGACACGCCAGAUUCGCUGUGUCUGAAUUUACCCUCAUUUGUUCAUCACUAUAUAUGUCAAAUAAAUGAUGUGGUCUCAUGUAAUGUGUGUCCUUGUGCGAGUACCCAGAGGAAGAACUCGGGAUGAAAUCUAACGUGUACUUGAAGUAACCAUUUUCAUAUUUCUGAUUCGGCUGUGAAUUCACCACAAAAAUCACGUCACUGUGACACCAAAGAAUGUUAAGUUUGUCGUAUUGACCCAAGGUUUCUGCAGAUCAUUAAAAAGCAUUAAAGGUCAUUAAAUAGAUUUUGUGAAAAUUAAGGCCUUAAAAAGCAUUAAAUACCAUGUCCAGAGGCAUUCAAAAAUUAAAUACACUUGAUGGAAAAAAAAAGCAUUGGUAUUCAUAAUUUUUUUUGAUUAUGUAAACAUUAAUAAUUUUGAUCAGAAGUAUAGUGUGAUGAUUGACAGACGGAACCCUUUAAUUGGCUAUUGCUUAUGGCCGAUACACGAAUCACAACACACCCAUCUAUUUAUUGUCCGUCCAUCCAUCCAUCCAUGGCUCACAUCCAUGCUGUGAGCGUGCACAUGCCGUGGCAAAAGAGUGGAGGGAACAGGAAAGAUUCAGAACCUGGUUAAAGCAUGUCAAAGGUAAACCAUCAUAAAACUAUAAAUAAAACCGUAUCUGCACUUGGACAUGGGCAUUAAAUUUGUUUAAAGUAACAUUCAAAAGGACAUUAAAAAGCAUAAAAUUAGAUUUGCUAAUACCUGCAGAAACCCUGAGACCAGAAAAUGGCAUUUAUUUAAUAAACAUUUGUGUAUAAUGCACAUAAUAUCAUACAUUGUUUGUCUUAUAAAUAUGACCAUCACUACUGAUCAUAAACACAUUUGGAACAUCACUGAAAUGUUUUGAAAUGUCUCACGAACCUGAUCAGUGGUUGAAAGUAAAAAUCUCAGAUACUUGUAGAUGACUUUUUUUGUUUUUAUGCUACUUAAAAUCUCUGCUCCAUUAUGUCUCAGAUUCUCAAUAUUGAAGUUUUUACUCCACAGACAGCUUUACCUUUCACACUUUCAUCCUCUUCUAGUAAAAAAUGACACAUCAUAAAAUGUAUUUUGAAUGUUUGUGGAAAAGCUAGAGAAUAGAGUAUUCCAUCAUGUGUUUCAUUAUAAUUUCUCCUCCCUCUUAAGUCAAACUGUUUCCCACCUGUUGACUGGCUGCUUUUUGUUUUGUCAAAAAGCUCUGUUUUUCUGAGCUCAUGAAAAAAUGACUUUUCAGAGAUACAACAUAAACAUGACAAAAAUAUGCAUUGCUGUAGAUUAAAACCCUGAUGUGCCCUUGAGCAAGGCAUUUAACCCCCCUUUUGCUUUCUGGGGGCCUCAUGCAGCUCACUGCUCCUCGUCUGCGGGGUGUGUUGCUGCAUAUUCAGCUAAUGAGGGGUUAAAGGCUGAGGAUCAGUUUUAGUUUGUGUUACAUAUAUAAUAUACUGACAAAGAUUGUUCUCUAAUCUUAGACAUUCAACGUAUUAAAAUAUAACAAAUGCAUUAAUGCAGCUGUGAAAUGAAACAAACAUCAUACAUUAGACAUGUUUAACAGACAUAAACACAGGAAACAGUAUCAUAAACAGCCUUUUACCAUAUAAAUGUCAUACCUGUAACUACUUAUUUAGUCUCCAAAUUCUGAUUGUUAGAAGGAAAUAUUACAUGAAAGAUGUUGGUGAUCUUUCUAUGAUAAUGGACAUAAAUACAUGUUUAUUUGCAUGUUAAAACUGUAUAAUCCAGAUAAAAGAAACUGCUGAUGGAUGUGUAUGUCAGUGAUGUGAAUUUUACAUGUACAGUCGCAGAAAAAAUGAUUAGACCAUCAAAAGUCAUCAAAAACAAUGGUUAUGCAAUCAAGUAGUAACUCCUGUGUGUAUCAUGUGACUAAAACAGACAGAAAAGAAAACAUGGAAUGUCUAAAAGCACUGUUUUUGUCAGUACAAUACCAUAGAUUUUGAUGUAAGAACUGAAGUGAUUUUGGUUAUUAUCAAGAAAACAUGGAAAAUGAAUAGAUAUCAGCUCUGAAAUGAAACUCUUCUAACCUAUUUUUGUUGCUAUCAUUAUAUUUGUCCAAACAAAUGUACUUUUACUUGUACCAGGCACUAAAAUGAACAAGAAAUUGAAGAAAACAAGGGGUGGUCUAAUAAUUUUUUCCACGACUGUUUGAAAUAAU
rnacentral:lncRNA from 1 species